ACUCCUACGGGAGGCAGCAGUGAGGAAUAUUGGUCAAUGGAGGGAACUCUGAACCAGCCAUCCCGCGUGUAGGAAGACGGCCUUAUGGGUUGUAAACUACUUUUAUACAGGAAGAAACGUACCCUCGUGAGGGUGCCUGACGGUACUGUAGGAAUAAGCACCGGCUAACUCCGUGCCAGCAGCCGCGGUAAUACGGAGGGUGCGAGCGUUAAUCGGAAUUACUGGGCGUAAAGCGCAUGCAGGCGGCCUGUUAAGUCAGAUGUGAAAGCCCGGGGCUUAACCUCGGAAUUGCAUUUGAAACUGGCAGGCUAGAGUCUUGUAGAGGGGGUA
rnacentral:rRNA from 1 species